ensembl:lncRNA
UGGGCUAAUGUUGUUUAGGUGGGUCUGGGAUGAUGUUGUCUAGGUGGGUCUGGGUUAAUGUUGUUGUUGUUUAGGUGGGUCUGGGCUAAUGUUGUUGUUUAGGUGGGUCUGGGAUGAUGUUGUUGUCUAGGUGGGUCUGGGUUAAUGUUGUUGUCUAGGUGGGUCUGGGCUAAUGUUAUUGUUUAGGUGGGUCUGGGCUAAUGCUGUUGUCUAGGUGGGUCUGGGAUGAUGUUGUCUAGGUGGGUCUUGGUUAAUGUUGUUGUCUAGAUGGGUCUGGGCUAAUGUUGUUGUCUAGGUGGGUCUGGGUUAAUGUUGUUGUCUAGGUGGGUCUGGGCUAAUGUUGUUUAGGUGGGCCUGGGAUGAUGUUGUCUAGGUGGGUCUGGGUUGAUGAUGUUGUUUAGGUGGGUCUGGGUCUGGGCUAAUGUUGUUGUCUAGCUGGGUCUGGGCUAAUGUUGUUGUUUAGGUGGGUCUGGGCUAAUGUUGUUGUUGUUUAGGUGGGUCUGGGCUAAUGCUGUUGUCUAGGUGGGUCUGGGCUAAUGCUGUUGUCUAGGUGGGUCUGGGCUAAUGUUGUUGUUUAGGUGGGUCUGGGUCUGGGCUAAUGCUGUUGUCUAGCUGGGUCUGGGCUAAUGUUGUUGUUUAGGUGGGUCUGGGCUAAUGUUGUUGUUGUCUAGCUGGGUCUGGGCUAAUGUUAUUGUCUAGGUGGGUCUGGGCUAAUGUUGUUGUUUAGGUGGGUCUGGGCUAAUGUUGUUGUUGUCUAGGUGGGUCUGGGCUAAUGCUGUUGUCUAUCUGGGUCUGGGCUAAUGUUGUUGUUUAGGUGGGUCUGGGCUAAUGUUGUUUAGGUGGGUCUGGGAUGAUGUUGUUUAGGUGGGUCUGGGUUAAUGUUGUUGUUGUUUAGGUGGGUCUGGGAUGAUGUUGUUUAGGUGGGUCUGGGUUAAUGUUGUUGUUUAGGUGGGUCUGGGUUAAUGUUGUUUUUGUCUGUUUAUGGUGGGUCUGGGCUAAUGUUGUUGUUUAGGUGGGUCUGGGCUAAUGUUGUUGUUUAGGUGGGUCUGGGAUGAUGUUGUUUAGGUGGGUCUGGGUUAAUGUUGUUGUUGUUGUUGUUGUUUAGGUGGGUCUGGGCUAAUGUUGUUGUCUAGGUGGGUCUGGGUUAAUGUUGUUGUUGUUUAGGUGGGUCUGGGAUGAUGUUGUUUAGGUGGGUCUGGGUUAAUGUUGUUGUUGUUGUUGUUGUUUAGGUGGGUCUGGGCUAAUGUUGUUGUUGUUUAGGUGGGUCUGGGAUGUUGUUGUUUAGGUGGGUCUGGGCUAAUGUUGUUGUUGUUUAGGUGGGUCUGGGAUGAUGUUGUCUAGGUGGGUCUGGGCUAAUGUUGUUGUUUAGGUGGGUCUGGGAUGAUGUUGUUUAG